rnacentral:rRNA from 1 species
GACGAACGCUGGCGGCGUGCUUAACACAUGCAAGUCGAACGGAAAGGCCCUGCUUUUGUGGGGUGCUCGAGUGGCGAACGGGUGAGUAACACGUGAGUAACCUGCCCUUGACUUUGGGAUAACUUCAGGAAACUGGGGCUAAUACCGGAUAGGAGCUCCUGCUGCAUGGUGGGGGUUGGAAAGUUUCGGCGGUUGGGGAUGGACUCGCAGCUUAUCCGCUUGUUGGUGGGGUAGUGGCUUACCAAGGCUUUGACGGGUAGCCGGCCUGAGAGGGUGACCGGCCACAUGGGGACUGCGGGACGGCCCAGACGGCUACGGGAGGCAGCAGUGGGGAAUAUUGCACAAUGGGCGGAAGCCUGAUGCAGCAGUGCCGCGUGCGGGAUGACGGCCUUCGGGUUGUAAACCGCUGUGGCCUGUGACGAAGCGGGAGUGACGGUAAUGGGUAAAGAAGCACCGGCUAACUACGUG